AAAAAUUUAGUUAAUAUAUAACAUUAAUUUGUCAAAUUAAAAUAACUUAAAGAUAAUUUUUU
rnacentral:tRNA from 1 species